rnacentral:rRNA from 1 species
AAGAGACAGCAGCCGCCGCGGGAAAACGAAGGGUGCAAGCGUUACUCGGAAUUACUGGGCGUAAAGCGUGCGUAGGUGGUGGUUUAAGUCCGUUGUGAAAGCCCUGGGCUCAACCUGGGAAUUGCAGUGGAUACUGGGUCACUAGAGUGUGGUAGAGGAUAGUGGAAUUUCCGGUGUAGCAGUGAAAUGCGUAGAGAUCGGAAGGAACAUCUGUGGCGAAGGCGACUAUCUGGGCCAACACUGACACUGAGGCACGAAAGCGUGGGGAGCAAACAGGAUUAGAUACCCCCGUAGUCCCUGUCUCUUAUAC